CCUGCCCGCUAGACAUGUACACCUUACAAUCAUUCCAUACACCAAAUAUAGUAGACCUAUGGCAUACAGUAUAAGAAAAACAGACCAAAACACAAAAACUUAACUAUAACCACUGAACCAUGAAAAUGAGGCCAAGGUCAGAUGACACCUGCCAGUUGGACAUGUACACCUUACAGUCCUUCCAUACACCGAAUAUACUAGACCUAUUGCUUAUAGUAUCUGAGAUAUGGACUUGACCACCAAAACUUAACCUUGUUCAUUGAUCCAUGAAAUGAGGUCGAGGUCAAGUGAAAACUG